CUAGAGACGUGGCACUUCGGUCCGGGCGGUCUACCGUCUGGUGAAAAGGGAACGUGGUUCGGCUAUCAGGCCAAAUCCACGACUGCCCCCGCAACUGUAGGCGGAGAGCGAAGCCGGAAUGUGCCACUGUCACGCACCCGCGUGAUGGGAAGGACCGGCCCAGCGAUGACCCGCAAGUCAGGAGACCUGCCGAGGUGUUCACCCUGUC
rnacentral:ncRNA from 1 species